rnacentral:rRNA from 1 species
AGAGUUUGAUCAUGGCUCAGAUUGAACGCUGGCGGCAUGCCUAACACAUGCAAGUCGAACGGAAACGAUGCUAGCUUGCUAGCAGGCGUCGAGUGGCGGACGGGUGAGUAAUGUAUAGGAACUUGCCCAGUAGUGGGGGACAACUUAUGGAAACGUAAGCUAAUACCGCAUAAUCUCUACGGAGGAAAGCAGGGGCUCUUUGGACCUUGUGCUACUGGAUAGGCCUAUAUUGGAUUAGCUAGUUGGUGAGGUAAAGGCUCACCAAGGCGACGAUCCAUAGCUGGUUUGAGAGAAUGAUCAGCCACACUGGGACUGAGACACGGCCCAGACUCCUACGGGAGGCAGCAGUGGGGAAUAUUGCACAAUGGAGGAAACUCUGAUGCAGCAAUGCCGCGUGUGUGAAGAAGGCCUUAGGGUUGUAAAGCACUUUCAAUAGGGAGGAAAAGUAAGUAGUUAAUACCUGCUUACCGUGACGUUACCUAUAGAAGAAGGACCGGCUAACUCCGUGCCAGCAGCCGCGGUAAUACGGAGGGUCCGAGCGUUAAUCGGAAUUACUGGGCGUAAAGCGCGCGUAGGCGGAUAUAUAAGUCAGAUGUGAAAGCCCUGGGCUCAACCUAGGAACUGCAUUUGAAACUGUAUAUCUAGAGUAUGGUAGAGGUGAGUGGAAUUUCAGGUGUAGCGGUGAAAUGCGUAGAGAUCUGAAGGAACAUCAGUGGCGAAGGCGACUCACUGGGCCAUUACUGACGCUGAGGUGCGAAAGCGUGGGUAGCACACAGGAUUAGAUA